ensembl:lncRNA
CCUCAACUCAAGUGUUUUCAAAUCCACGGUUAAUUCGCGAAGUAUUGCCAGCCUGUCUGCCUUACCAAGCGUUAUUCCCAUUCCCAUUGUUUGCCUUCUUGUGUAUGAUCUUUGCCUGGUUACCCUGUUUUCUGCCUUUUGGAUUGCCCACUGUUUUGUUGCCUGGAUUGGAUUGCCUAUCUGUGUAUGUACCCCUGCCUGCCUCACGUUUCCGAUUCACUGUCUGCUGUUUUGGAUUUGUUUGCUGUGGAUUUCAUUAAAACAUUGCACAUGGAUUCUAACGCCGCCUCAGCGUCCUUACAGUAUUACACAACAUCAUGUACAUGUAGGAUAGGAUAGGUCAAAAUGGUAGGUAUUGCAUGUGUUGUUUUGCAAUUACAUUGUUCCAAGAUAUUGUUCCAUUGUCUACAAGUAUACUAUAUAGUUAAACAAGAAACUGAUCCCAUUCCUAAUAUAUCCACCCUGGUAGCUGUUUCACAUGGUGCUUUCUUGGGGUGUCUUCUUUCGUCAUGAUCAGAGUAAUACAACUUUUUAUUUUGCAGGUACUUGUCGAUCAUUGGAUUUGUCAUCAAUAUCGACACGUUGAUGCUGAUGAUUCCUGAACUGCUCCAAGUUCAGCGGUAUGUGCUCACCUACAGGUUCAGCCAGGAUCACUUGGAGCUCCUAUUUAAUUCAAUCAGAGCGUCAGGCGGCUGGAAUAACAAUCCAUCGGCAUGCCAGUUCCAGGCCAUCUUCCGCCGUCUGAUGGUUCGGUGUAGUGUCUCUUGUGGCAGCACAAGAUCACACUUGUCUGCUGUGGAGAUGUCUGCUGUGGAGAUGUCAUCUGCUGAAACUGCUGAAGAGCACCCAUCUCCAUUCGCCAACAUUUCAGCCCUUGUGUGUGACCACAGUUAUCUCCCCACUCGGUUUGGUGGUCUGGUGGAAAAUUUUUUUGGUCUACAUAGCAGGGUUUGUAGUCCGGCAGAUUCUUCGAAAGCUGUCCUGUGAUGUGUGCCGUGCUAGACCAGCAUCAUUUGACAAGAGCUACCACCUUCUAGCCCUGAAAAACAACGGAGGCCUAGUGAUUCCAUCAAGGCACAGUAAAGGUGUGAUUUCUAUUAUCUUAUUUUUUAAGAUCUUUUAAUCUUUGCAUAUUAAGGUUGCUUUGUUCUUAUUUUCUCUGUUCUGUAAAGUGUAUAUGAGUACUGUGUGAAGCGCUAUAUAAAUAUGUAUUAUUUUUAUUAUUAUAAGGUGCUGAGAGCUGCAGAGAGGGUGAUCCGCCAAGCUUCAGCAAUACAAGCUCCUAAGGUGUCAACAGUCACACACAUUGUGUGGGAGGAGAUUGGGACAGAGGAUGUUUUCCUUCUUGGGGAGCACAUUGAGGAGACCCAGAUUGGCAUUGACAAUCAGUCUGAUUUGUUGUCAUUGGUUGUGUCCGUGUUCCUAAAGAUAAGGCUCCACCAUGUUGCCAAACUCGCCUCUCCUGAACUACAAAAAGGGAGCAUGAGAGAGAAGCUCUGCAAAACAGUCCUCUUUCAGGGGUUUUUGUGAGUGUGUGUGUGAGAGAGAGAGAGAAAAGAGUGUGUGUGUGUGUGAGAGAGUGUGUAUAUCACAAAUCAUUAUAAAUUGUUUCUUCAACUUAUUAAAAUAUCUUAUUUUACUGCAACUAUCUAUUUCUGCUUCAUCAUAUUUAUAGUGUGUGACUUAUAAAUUACCUUAUAUCCUACAUCACAUAUUUUGAUUUUGGACGUCUGGUCACUUUAUAUCUUAUAUCAGAAUAUUAUAUAACUGUUAAGCCUACUAUGAAUAUUAAAAUACGCUGAACCAUGUGUCCUGUAUUAUAGCUACAUGAAUGACCUUUGCAGGAAAAAAAACCCGCGUCAAAAUCAGUGAGGUAUUUAGUGAGAUAUGAUUAAUUAAAUGCGCUGACAGCUCAUUGCACCUGACAAACAAGUUACACUGAGUGGAGCUGGCGACCGAUCCAAGAUGGAUAUAUGUGAUGUCUAUG